rnacentral:rRNA from 1 species
UGCCAGACUCCUACGGGAGGCAGCAGUGAGGAAUAUUGGUCAAUGGCCGGAAGGCUGAACCAGCCAAGUCGCGUGAGGGAAUAAGGCCCUAUGGGUCGUAAACCUCUUUUGUCAGGGAGCAAAGGCGUCCACGUGUGGACGAGAGGAGAGUACCUGAAGAAAAAGCAUCGGCUAACUCCGUGCCAGCAGCCGCGGUAAUACGGAGGAUCCGAGCGUUAUCCGGAUUUAUUGGGUUUAAAGGGAGCGUAGAUGGGUUGUUAAGUCAGUUGUGAAAGUUUGCGGCUCAACCGUAAAAUUGCAAUUGAUACUGGCAGUCUUGAGUACAGUUGAGGUAGGCGGAAUUCGUGGUGUAGCGGUGAAAUGCUUAGAUAUCACGAAGAACCCCGAUUGCGAAGGCAGCUUACUAAACUGUGACUGACAUUGAUGCUCGAAAGUGUGGGUAUCAAACAGGAUUAGAUACCCCAGUAUG